CCUACGGGUGGCUGCAGUGAGGAAUAUUGGUCAAUGGGCGCGAGCCUGAACCAGCCAAGUAGCGUGAAGGAUGACUGCCCUACGGGUUGUAAACUUCUUUUAUAAAGGGAUAAAGUGAGGCACGUGUGACUUUUUGUAUGUACUUUAUGAAUAAGGAUCGGCUAACUCCGUGCCAGCAGCCGCGGUAAUACGGAGGAUCCGAGCGUUAUCCGGAUUUAUUGGGUUUAAAGGGAGCGUAGGUGGGUUGUUAAGUCAGUUGUGAAAGUUUGCGGCUCAACCGUAAAAUUGCAAUUGAUACUGGCAGGCUUGAGUACAGUAGAGGUAGGCGGAAUGCGUGGUGUAGCGGUGAAAUGCGUAGAGAUCAGGAAGAACUCCGAUUGCGAAGGCAGCCCACUGGAC
rnacentral:rRNA from 1 species